GAUCCUGGCUCAGGAUGAACGCUGGCGGCGUGCUUAACACAUGCAAGUCGAACGAAGCACUUCAUAAAGCUUGCUUUAAGAAGUGACUUAGUGGCGGACGGGUGAGUAACGCGUGGGUAACCUGCCUUACACAGGGGGAUAACAGUUAGAAAUGACUGCUAAUACCGCAUAAACAAGCAGAGUCGCAUGACUCAACUGUCAAGAAUUAUCGUGUAGAUGCCGCGCU
rnacentral:rRNA from 1 species